ensembl:lncRNA
GCAGAAUCCAUGAGCCUCCAUGUUCCCCACAAAUGCCUGAGGCUUAAAGUAGGGAGGGAUUUAAAAGAAAAGAGUUACUGGGGGCAGGGACUAUGGAGACUAAAACAGUGAGUAAAAUAGAGAAGCUCAAAAGUUAAGAGGUAGUCUGUUGCUGAGAUAAAAAUCUGGCUUUGGAGUUUCUGUUGUGGCUCAGUGGGUAAAGAACCCAACUAGUAUCCAUGAGGACGCAGGUUUGAUCCCUGGCUUUGCUCAGUGGGUUAAGGAUCCAGUGUUGGCACAAGCUGCAACACAAGUCAAGGAUGCAGCUUGGAUCUGGUGUGGCUGUGGCUGUGGCUGUGGCAUAGGCCGGUGGCUACAGCUCUGAUUCGACCCCUAGCGGGGCAACUGCCAUAUGCUGAAUGUGUGGCACUAAAAAGACAGGAAAAAAAAAAUCUGGCUUUGUUUGAAACUGUGAACAUCCUUAUAACAAAUCUCUACAACUUAAUGUAAAUUGAGGAUGUUUCCAGCUUGCAUUCUGAAGAGGAUUACCCACUCAUGUUGUAUAGUAUGCUAUUUAAAAACAAAAACAACAAACCAAACAAAAAAAAACAUUGACUUACUGGUAUUUCUAAGAAUAAAUAUCUCACCUUUAUUAACUGAUUACUAUCUACCCUUGGACUGAAAUUGGUUUGCUCAUAUAUUUCCAUGUCUUGUCUUUUAAAUUUGAAUUCCAGGAAUUUUUUGAGAAAGAACAAUUAAGGUACUGUCUGUUUUUCCCAAACUAGUUUUUAGAGGUAACUUCUUUAUUUAAAACUUGGCAGGAUGAGGGAAGGACCUCAUGCCAGGUCUGCCUCUAAUCCUGCUGCACAUUUAGAGAGCAUACUUUAGCACCAAAGGAGAGCCUCAUGUAAGAAUUUUUCCUGAGAUCUCAAAGUUAGUUUUGUUUUAAAUAUUUUUUUUUUUGGCCACACAGGGGGCAUUUGGAAAUUCCUAGGCCAGGGAUUGAACAUGUGCCACAGAAGCAACUAGAGCUACAGUGGUGACAACACCAGGUCCUCAAUCCACUGUGCCACCAGGGAACUCCUGUUUUAAAUAUUUUGGAUGCCUUCAUUUACACACAAUGGAUUCGGAAUCUAUCAUAAUUGUAGGUGUGAAGAUUAUAUAAUGAUUCUAUUGCUAAAGAUAAAUAAGAUUAUAAUUAAGUGCAGGAUCAUUAAUGAAAUAGAACAUUAGUCAAUAUUAACAAAAAGCAUUAACACAAUUAGUAGAAUGAGCAUCAGUUUUAAUGGGUUAGGGUUAGGGUUAGGGUUAGCAUUAGGGUUACUUUGUAAAUCAUUUCGCUCUAGUGCUUACUUGGCUUAUGGAUCCAAGAAGUCAUUUAACUUCUUUGAGCCGCAAUUUCCACAUUUGUUAUAUAGGGUUAAUGAUGAUACAGAUGAAGUAGUUCAUGGUUCUGAUAUUAGAGAUUCUGUAUCCUUCUCCAUUCUAAGUUUGAAAAGUCAUGACACUGAAAAAAGACAUAAGACGUGAAUCCUCAUUCGCUAUACGCUCUGCUACUCAGAGCAUGGAAAUCAGGAGCUGGCAAUGACCAGAACCUCGUGAACACACUACCCAUAGUUGUAAGUCAUAAUACUAGGAUUAAGGAAUACACUUCUCUGGGAUCAUUGAGUAAUUUCCAUAACUUCGCGGAAUUGUAAAUUAAAGGCCAACAUUCAGUGCUUUCCUAACUCUGGUAUAAAAUUUAACUCACUGAGAGGAAGAGGGAAAAAUGAGAAAAAUGUGUUUUCUUUGUUAUAUAGUAUAAUCUUUGCACAUUUUUGAGCAUGACAAUAUGCUUUAUAAUCUCAAGAAUAUGUAAGAUGGUAAAGAUGCAGAUUAAUUAUAAGAAAAAUCUCUUAUUCAGAGUUUGUAUGACAAUAAAGUAAGGUGUCUUAAAGUCCCAAUGUUUGAAUUAGGGAAUGAAUUUGAAUAGUUGAAUAUGAAACAUCUGUGUAUUCAUUAGGCCCACAAGGGCUUCAAGUGAUAGCAAUUGAAUUAAUUAUUGCACAUUGUUAAUCUCUUGGCUGUCUCAAAAAGAUUUAUUUCCUUAAACAUAUUAUGAUAUGUAAUGUCACUGAAUAUGUUGAUGGCGCUGUUCAAAUGUCAAAUAACUGCCAAAGUUCUAGGGGAAAGCUAGCUUUUCAUGCAUAUUUAAGUUUUCAGUGCACUUCAACUCAUCAGCAAAUCUUGCCAUUAAACCAUCCCAUCUUGGAUUCUCUCUUACAUUGAAAAGAAGGACUGUUCAGUAGAAGGUGAGAUGUCGAUAUCUAUGUACAGUGUAUCUUAUAUUUUUGAACCUAAUUAAGGUUGAAAGCAUACAAGCAAAAUCUGCCAUUAUCGGUUGUGGAGGCCUGAAUUGUAAUUACGCACACUCUCAUUACAGAAUUGUCAUCAGUAACACUAGUGCAUACCUGCUGUGCAUUAGAUAAAUUUGCUUGUGUUCUGUGCAUGCAAAGACCCCCGUGUUUUAGGAGAGAUUUUUCUGUAUCAUGCAGAGUUACCAUGCUGACCUACAAAACACAAUAAACCGUUUUGUAUCAUAUAAAUAGUCAGUCAUGUGAAGAUAUAGGACAGAGCCAGAAGGGAGAGGCAGGGGGAGAAUAUUCCAGACACUAAGCAUUGUAUUAAGGGAGUAACUUUUCUCCAUGUCACUUUGUGGUGUGGCUGAAGUAGAAACAGAAUUGAAUGCAAUGGAUGUUACAGGGAAUAAGAUGUGUACACAUAACAAAGAGCAUUUUCACAGUUAGAACUGCCUCUUGCAACUGUGAAUUUGCCAAUACUGGACACAAUUACAAAGAAGCUCCAUUUUUUUUUUUCUUUGAGAUAUGUUAUAAAGCUGUGGUUUUCAAUUUGCAAUAGGCAACAAUUUUUUGAAAUGGAACAUGGCCAAAAUCUCAAUAUUGAAAACAAAAAGAAAGAAUAGGCCAUAUUUAUAAGUGUAUUUUAUAAUUAAAAUGAAUGACAAUUAAUCAUAAAUCAGUUGUUGGCUUGAUGAGAGUCUUGACGUGGCUCUCCAGUAUGUUCAAAUCUGGGGUUUGACAUUUUUCUGUGUGUUUAACAUUUGUUUCAUUGCGGAUUUUUUUUACUUGUAAAAUAUGAAUCAAGCAUUUGGAUCAACUGUAUAGUCCCGUAAUGUAGUUUUGACAUCAGCAUUGGAGAGAAAAAUCCUGACCUGUAUUCAGAAGGAUAAGGACAAGUGGACAUGAAUAACUGUUGAUAUAUGUGAUGAGUGGCUCUUGACUGAAAGAGACCUGGAGAUCUUCCUGGGUGAUUAAAAGUUUCUGUUUAUAGGUGAGAUUAUCUAUCUAUGUAGUUAAGGUUGUAGUUAUAUGGAGUUAUCAGAUACUUAAGAUUUUAAAAUUUUACUUGAUGUAAAUUUAAAUGCAAUAAAAUUUGCAAAAAUCCUAUCACUUUCAAGAGUAUAAUGAUGUGCUUUCAUGAUCACUGUCCAGCCGAAAGCUAAAAAGUGCUGAUGUAGAGAUUAGCCCAUUGUUGCCUCCUUUCUCCAGUGUCCUACUCCCAAGCUCAUUUCUCUCCACACAUACACCACACUAACACAGACACACACACAAAGACACACACACACACACACACACACAUUCUUCUUAUUGCUGCCCCAGUUCGAAAGCUCUAAUUCUACUGAUUAACUCUCCAUACAUGAGAAUUAAAUUUAGAAUGUUUUGAUCCCUGGUAAAUUUGCAUGGAGGGAAAUCUUGUUUUCAUUAUCUGACUUGAAAUUGGUUCACUUAAGAUUUUAAUAUACCAGAAAAUCAAUAUUAAGAAUUUGUUUUAUGUAAUUUUAUGCCUCUCACAAAUUUAUAACUUCCAGAAAUCUAUUGACUUUCCAACGAAUAUUUCAAGAUGUGCUAUCGUAGUUGGUAUUGGAAUCUGCACUGAUGAAAUACGCAUAUAGAACAGCAUUAUUUUUUUGAAAAGGACUUAAAUUCCUUUUGUAAAAUCUAAAGAAAGUGUUGCAAAAUUUAGCCGAUUGAUCAAGUCAGUAGUUAAAGUUAAGUUUUAAGUUAAACUCAUCAGAUGGCAUAAAAUUUUUAAACACAUCAGAGGGCAUAAAAUUUGAAGGUUAUAUAGUAAUUUUUCAUCAAUAGUUUUUUUUUUUUAACUGUAUCUGUAUUAGAUAUGUUCCUUACAUUUUGGAUAGGGAAAGGAACAAAAUAUUGGAUGAUAAGAUAAUUUCUGUUAAGCAAAUCAACAGGAGAUCCAUUUUUUUCACAAAUUAAACUAGAGAAAAUUAUUGAUUCAUUGGUCUCAUUUUAUAUUCCUUUUUAAAAAAAUGUACGAUCUGGCAUCUUUUUUUGUAUGAUUUGGUUUUACUUUCAUUUUAACCCAACAAAGUUGUCAUUACCACUGUCAUUUGGAAAUAAGGAUAACUGAAAUUUCAAACUAGACUAGAACUGGACCAAAAACCUUAAUCAGAAUCUACGUCUAGAUUCUUGCUAUUUGUUUGUCAUGAAAGUGGUCUUGGUUUGAUUAAAAGAAGCUGAAGAGAUACCUGGAGACUUUCAAGAAAUCCCUUAAGGGUCUUUUGUGUAUUCUUGAGGGAUUUAGAUGAGGGGUUAAUGACUCUCGUGCAUUUGUAGUGCUUUUUCUUUUUAACUUGUGGAUGGUUGCUUAACCCAUGAUUUGGAACCAUUAUCGAUGUGCUCUUUCACAUCAGACAUCUGGGAGAAGAAAGCACAACUGGAAGCUGGGAAUGACAUUGAGUAGAGGCUUUUGGAAUGUGGUCCCAGCAUCAUCAGCAUCACUAGGUAACUUGUGAUAAAUGCCAGUUCUUGGGCCCCACCCCAGACCUAAGAAAUCAGACACCCUAGAGGUAAGACCCAGAAAUCUGAUUUAACACAUUCUCCUGUAGAUAUUCAUGCAGGUGAUAGUUUGAGAACCACUGUUGUAUGUUUUUAACCUCAAAGAGUAUUUAGAAACUUACCGUUAUUCCAUAGAGAAAUAAAAAGUGUAGAGAGAUGAAUUCUAAGAGAGAGUAAUUCUAAUUGGUUUGUGAAGAUGAAUGGAAUAGACAUCUUUUGUACUCGAUCUUUCAGAAGGAACCCUUAGAUCUCAGUAAAAGCUUUGUUAAACCUGAGCUUUUUAUUUUCAGAAGAGUCUUGCUCAAUGCUGAACUAUGAGACCUCAAAAAAGUGUUUUGUUCUUCCUUUUAUGUUAAAUUCCUUACAUCUCAUGACUAUAGAGGGAAAACUAAAUUGUGCAUAGAACCUCAUAAAAGGAAGCUCACAAUGUUAAAGAGAUGGCAGGUCAGUGAAGAUGAAAUUUUCCUGGGCCCAUCAGGUCAGAGUCAGAAGUUACCUGAAGUGGUAGAAGAGGCAGGGGAAAAGGUUAGGGUAUUUCAAGUCAUAAUAGAAAGACUAUUCAAUGAAGUCAAUAGCUCUUUCUGGAGUGCGUAUUGUAUGCCAUUGACUUUUCUAGGCGCUUCAGAUAUUUAUCAGUAAAUAAAAGUAGAAAAAGAUCACUGCUCUGGUAGGAUAUUUUAUUCAGGGACACAGAUGGUAUGUACUAAAUAUUAUAAAAUAUAUUAGAAAUUGAUGGUGUGGUGGAAGAAUUUUUUUUUUUUAAAAGAACCCAUUAAAGGGGAUAUGGUGGAUCAACUUUUACUAGACAUGUUAUGGAUAGUAUGUUCAGUUACCUGAGAUAGGCUCUUGUUUAGAUUUAUUUAGCAGGUUUUAGCAAUGAAUGACUUUGUGAGGGUGUGAUGGCUCUCCGUUUACCAGUACUCCCUGAACCUGACAAAUCUAAUAGAAUCGAGCAUUUGGAAAAGUGUCCAACGAAAACCCAAAUUUAAAUUUUCUUUUCGUGGGAAUCGAGUUGUUACAAAGAAGGAAUUUUCAAAACCAACCAAACAAGCCAUAACAAGAAAAACAAAUACUCACGAAAGCUUGCAUAUGGAUGAAAUGAGAGCAUUAAGAGUUAGGGACUGCCGAUUUCCUAUCGUGGCUCAGUGGAAACAAAUCUGACUAGCAUCCAUGCGGACACAGGUUCAAUUGCUGGCCUCGCUCAGUGGGUUAAGGUUCCGGAGUGUCUGUGAGCUUUGGUGUAGGUCGCAGACACGGCUCGAAUCUUUCGUUGCUAUGGCUGUGGCAUAGGCCAGCAGCUACAGCUCCAAUUCAACCCCUAACCCAGGAACCUCCAUAUGCUGAGGGUUUGGCUCUAAAAAGACAAAAAGACAUGCCAAAAAAAGAGUUAGGGAUUGGGUUCAAUUUAGUAGCCUAGACCUAGUUCAUUAACAGUUUAGAGACAGGUGCCUCCUUUAUGUGAAUCCUGACUCCUCUGCAAAAGAUGGCUGUGUUUUCAUGGAAACCUCCUCAUAACAUACCUACAUACACCGAUGGAUCCUAAAUAGUAACUUUCAAAAAAAAAAAAAAA